AACUCGUAUGACACCGGCAUUGGGAAUUUCCCACCGUUUGUUGGGUGCUCCGCCGCGACGGGCGAUGGACCUCGCCGCCGGAUAUGCACCCUAGCUCACCACCGCUACCUCCACCGCCUCCUUUGCUGGUUAGUCGCCUGGAGGAAGCUCGGAAUCCUCCGCUCCAUCCUGUCGCGCCGCCCCAAAUUUUCCGAUUCCCGACGAGCCUCACUGUGGCUCCUCCGUUAUCCUCCGCGUGAAGAAGCUCGUUGCCGCUUUCUGUUCGAUUGAUUUGGUAUGGCUUCGGUAUACGGUAGCAAACAGGCCAGUGAGUUCAUUGAGAAGGGUACGCUGGAGAAAGGAAACCGCCAUUUUUUUGGCUUCGAGGUGCUGUUUGGAAUCUGGAUUGCUGGCCAUUCCUUGGGUAGUUUGACACGUUAACAAGGAUCACUCAUCUCUGUCAGAAAUUGAUCUUCUAAGAACAUUUAUGCUCACAUAAUAAAUAAUAUGCGAUUACUGAUGGACAUGGUCACUACUUCAGUAAACAUGGGUGUAUACUGAAUAUUCCCACUCCUUUGGGGAGAGUAUGUGGUGAAGCUACAUUCUGAUCAAGUGUUCAUAUCUUGAAAGCAGGAUUUCUUUGAUUACCUUUAAACUUGCUCCAUCAGACUGGACACCGUUACUUGCAAUCCUUGUGUUCCUUUUUCAUGUAAUGCUUAUUGAAUAUGCUCUACUAAAGUACUAGGAUUGAGGAUUAUUAUAAGAUGUACUAACUCAUCCAGGGACCAAAACUUUUAUAUCAUGGUCUAGUAAAACAGGUCUCACUUAUUACUAUCUCCCUGAGUUCCUGAACUCCUUUCAAGAAAGAAAAUCCACUAACUGAACUUCCAGUACUGAUCACCAUUGUGAGCAGAAUCAAUUAUGUGGUGUACCCAUGCGAGAUUCACAGCCCAUCUGAAAUUCGAACUGGCGAUACCAAGAUAGUAUUUCUGACAAAGGUACACGGGUGUCAAAGUGUUUUGCUUGUCAAUCAUGGUACAAGAUUUGUCAGUAGAAGAGUUGUGAGUAAUGAUGCACAUGCUAGGUUCAAUGGACUGGUAUCUGUGUGUCGCAUGGGUUUGAGAAGUGACAGAUUUUGCUGGGACGCAAAUAAUAUCUAUACAUAGAAAAUGCUCAAUGCUCAUAGUUACACUGAAUGGCACUUGUGAUGCAAUGAUUCAGAGACUGAAAAUCUAAACACCUUUUAAGCUGAUAUAGCUUCUCUGGCGAAUGCACAGUUCUGGUGUGGCUUUGCAAUGUAAAGUCAGGUCAUGUAUAAUUGUGAGUACGGUUAUUGCUUCUUUCGUGCAAUCGUGUCAAUUCGCGGGAGGAAUAUGGGAAAGGAUUCCGAUGGGCUCUGGGCGAGCAUGACUGUUGUUUCUAUGGGCUGUGUGUGAGUGGGGGUUAAAUUCUCAAUGUCAACACAGCGAGGCUACCUAGGAGACUGAAUAAUAUCCUGUUUGUUGCCAAGACGUAUCAGUACUGAACAUGGUUGGGAGACGAUAAUUGUAACAAGCUGAUAUGAAAGUUCGAGAACAACUUGGCCGAACUGUAACAAGUCGGUGAGCCUGUAUAACCUCUGGUAAAAAAAAUGAAAGGUCAUGAACGAGAAAAGGAUGAUGGCCCGAAAUUAAGGAUAUAUGCCGUCAUGUAUCCAACAAAGGAGAAGGAUGUUGGUCGAUUUUGCAUCGAGUUCCAUAAUUAAAGAGCAAUUUGAUUCCAGGGCUUCAUAAUGUGGGUGGCUGAAUGAAUCAUCUUCCGACUUCUAGAGUAUUUCUUCAACAGAGGCGCUCUUUCUGUUAGUCCCUUCAUCAGCAGAGAAAGCAGAGCUAUGCCCUUGUCAACAAACAUUUUACUUGUUCUGGGCUUCGAUUUCUAAUCUAUGCUUCCAUACGAAAACGGCCAAAACCAAUGCGGCGGCUCUCUGGGUCUCUCCCAUCUUGAGCUCUUACCCUUAUUCUUUUGAAUUGUUUACUUUGCCAUAUCUACAUGCCAUUGGUUUGUUGAAAUGUAUAAACAGUAAUGUCAUUUCUACAUGACUUGCGGAGUAUUUCAUAGCAUGGAAUAAUUGGUUGCAUGUUUUAGCGAAGCAUUACACAUUAAUUGGAGGAUUCUGAUCUUAUCUAAUUAUUUAAAACCUGACAUCUGAUUGUCACUCUUUCCAGUUCCACGUUCCCUUUUGUGUGUGCUAGGUGCAAGGCACUCAGAAUGUUAGAUUACCUUCAGAAUUUUAGUUUCCUUGCAACUCAGGUGUUAUUUUGUUUUUUACCUCGAAUACUUGUAUGUUUGUGAAACUGAAUACUGGACCAGCCAUGUAUGCUUGCUGCCUAUUGCUUCCAUACACAAACCUAAGGCCACACAGCGAUCUGAUUGAUGCCGAGGGUCUAGCAGUCUGGCUAAACAAAAAAAGUUCCUUCCCAUGUGUAUUUCAUUUCGUGAGGUUCAACUAUCGGUGAUAACCAGUGAAUCUUGAUAACAAGUCAAAGAUGGCUGCCCGGCCGCCCAGCCUAAUUAUGCCAAUUGGAAUUGCUCUUUUCAUGCAACCGUUUUUAUUAUUUAAGCAUUGAUGUGUGGAUUAUCUGUGCCGUACCAUCUUACUUUGGGAUUCCACUAAGUUUAAAUCAAUCAUGCCAACCUAGGAAGGAUAAGGUGGUAUGCUGAUUUGAUGGCUGGGGAGCUAGGCAACUCAGCAGGGGAUCAAAUGAUAGGGUUACCCUUUUCGGAGAUGCUUGUGUUCUUAUUCAAGACCAAUUUGUUUUAGCUGAUCACUUUGUUAGUUCUUUCUUGGAAAUGUAUCUUGUGCAGUGCAAUAAGGAAAGCCGAAACUACAAUAUGCUCAUGGGGGAUAUUUCGAGCUUCUUAUGAUAUUUUUAGAAACUAAUCCAACACCUGUGUGUUGCAACGGAUUGACAAAGAGUAAUGCUGCAUGUCAAAAUAUUAUUAUACUACGGAGUACCAUUUGUGCAGAAUGUUACUGCUACUGCUACUUUCUCAUGACUAAUUGUAUCGUUUUCAGAGCUAUGGGAGCACGCACGGUAGCAGCACUUAAUGAAUGGUAAUCAGAUUCCCUCUCAUGCCUUUGUUUGUUAGGGCUCCAACUAUUCCAAAAGCAGCUUCUAACCUCCGAGGGGAUAUUUCGAGCUUCUCACCACAAUGUCAGUGAAACAGUAGAAACACAAAUUGUCUGAUUUUUGUUGCAUGUAUGAUCAUGUCUGUUAUUCUGAAAGUACCUUCUCGAGGGAAGGGGAUAUUUUGAGCUUAUACCCAAAUCUUCAGUGAAAUGAUGGAAACUCAAGUCAUUUGUUGCCUCUAAUCUAACGUACUUUGUCCUCCUGUGAUGGUGGAUUACAAAAAUAAUCCUCUCGAACUCUCGAAUAGAUCUCACUGCAUUUUCUUUUCCUCUUUAGCCAAAAAGACCUGUUGCAAGCAGCAUACUACAAACAGCAUUGCACUAAGAUGGACUUGCCAAUAUUGAUGAUUUAAUUAUUCUCUUGACUAUUCGGAGGUUGUUGCAGGAGCCAAUUGGCGAACAUAGAACUGUGGGCUAGGUCUCUUUCCAGUACAUUAUAAGGUGGCCUCUCAUCAAAUUUGUAGCUUUUCAUUAGUUGGGUUCUCCUUUGUUUCCAGAAAUGGUGCAUCCAGCCUGACCAAGCACAUGUUCUUUGCCAACCUAGGCCUCUAGUUUUGGUAUUGCACUCUGAAACUGCAGCUGGCUUGUGUUUGGAACCUGCUACCUGAGCAACGGUGUCAAUGAGCGCUAGUAGCUGUAUUCUUAUCUGAAUUUUUUGAAGUACUCGGAACUUCAUGUCCAUUAUGACUCUUAUGACUCAUCAUA